CCUACGGGGGGCAGCAGUGAGGAAUAUUGGUCAAUGGACGAGAGUCUGAACCAGCCAAGUAGCGUGAAGGAUGACUGCCCUGUGGGUUGUAAACUUCUUUUAUAUGGGAAUAAAAUGUUCCACGUGUGGGAUUUUGUAUGUACCAUAUGAAUAAGGAUCGGCUAACUCCGUGCCAGCAGCCGCGGUAAUACGGAGGAUCCGAGCGUUAUCCGGAUUUAUUGGGUUUAAAGGGAGCGUAGGUGGAUUGUUAAGUCAGUUGUGAAAGUUUGCGGCUCAACCGUAAAAUUGCAGUUGAAACUGGCAGUCUUGAGUACAGUAGAGGUGGGCGGAAUUCGUGGUGUAGCGGUGAAAUGCUUAGAUAUCACGAAGAACUCCGAUUGCGAAGGCAGUUCACUGGACUGCAACUGACACUGAGGCUCGAAAGUGUGGGUAUCAAACAGGAUUAGAUACCCGAGUAGUC
rnacentral:rRNA from 1 species